UACGGGGGGAGCAAGCGUUGUUCGGAUUUACUGGGCGUAAAGGGCGCGUAGGCGGCCACCGCAAGUCGAUUGUGAAAUCUCCGGGCUUAACCCGGAAGGUCAACCGAUACUGCGGGGCUAGAGUGCAGAAGGGGCAACUGGAAUUCUCGGUGUAGCGGUGAAAUGCGUAGAUAUCGAGAGGAACACCUGCGGCGAAGGCGGGUUGCUGGGCUGACACUGACGCUGAUGCGCGAAAGCUAGGGGAGCGAACGGG
rnacentral:rRNA from 1 species